UCAGCUCUCUUUGCCGUAUGGCUUAGAUCAAGUGUAGUAUCUGUUCUUUUCAGUUUAAUCUCUGAAACGUCUCCAAGUGAGACCGAUCGUGGUUAAUCUUAUUUUUGGGCCUGGGGAGAGUUUCUGCUGUGCUUGCACGUGGAUUCUCUGCCUACUGUGUCCCCGGUAUCACACUGCUUCCGGGUGAUGCGACUCUUU
rnacentral:snRNA from 1 species